rnacentral:rRNA from 1 species
GAUGAACGCUAGCGGCAGGCCUAACACAUGCAAGUCGAACGGUAACAUGGAUUGCUUGCAAUCUGAUGACGAGUGGCGCACGGGUGCGUAACGCGUAUGCAAUCUACCUUUUACAGGAGAAUAGCCCAGAGAAAUUUGGAAUAAUGCUCCAUAAUAUCAUUUAUCAGCAUUGGUUUAUGAUUAAAGCUCCGGCGGUAAAAGAUGAGCAUGCGUUCUAUUAGCUAGUAGGUGAGGUAACGGCUCACCUAGGCUACGAUAGAUAGGGGCCCUGAGAGGGGGAUCCCCCACACUGGUACUGAGACACGGACCAGACUCCUACGGGAGGCAGCAGUGAGGAAUAUUGGACAAUGGAGGAAACUCUGAUCCAGCCAUGCCGCGUGCAGGAUGACUGCCCUAUGGGUUGUAAACUGCUUUUAUAUAGGAAGAAACACUCCCACGUGUGGGGGCUUGACGGUACUAUAUGAAUAAGGAUCGGCUAACUCCGUG